rfam:Felis catus isolate Cinnamon breed Abyssinian chromosome B3, whole genome shotgun sequence.
GCCUGGGUGGUUCAGUUGGUUAAAUGUCCGACUUCGGCUCAGGUCAUGAUCUCACAAUUCGUGGGUUCAAGCCCCACGUCAGGCU